UAAAUUGAGAGUUUGAUCCUGGCUCAGGACGAACGCUGGCGGCGUGCCUAAUACAUGCAAGUCGAACGCAUCCCGAUGAAUUGAAGUGCUUGCACUGAUUUUCAGCAUUGGAUGAGUGGCGAACUGGUGAGUAACACGUGGGUAACCUGCCCAGAAGCAGGGGAUAACACUUGGAAACAGGUGCUAAUACCGUA
rnacentral:ncRNA from 1 species